rnacentral:tRNA from 1 species
GGGGUUGUAGCUCAAUGGCAGAGUGCUCACCUAGCACGUGCGAGGCCUUGGGUUCGAUCCUCAGCACCAGUUUCA